CGUCUCUAGUUCGGAUUGUAGGCUGAAACUACGCCUACAUGAAGCUGGAAUUGCUAGUAAUCACAGGUCAGCAUACUGUGGUGAAUACGUUCCCGGGCCUUGUACACACCGCCCGUCACACCAUGAGAGUUGAGAAUACCCCGAAGCCCAUGUCAAAGUGGUCGAAGGUAGGCUUGAUGAUUGGGGUGAAGUCGUAACAAGGUAGC
rnacentral:rRNA from 1 species